UACGUAGGGUGCGAGCGUUAAUCGGAAUUACUGGGCGUAAAGCGUGCGCAGGCGGUUGGCAAAGUCAGCUGUGAAAGCCCCGGGCUCAACCUGGGAAUGGCGGUUGAAACUAGUCGACUCGAAUCUGGCAGAGGGGGGUGGAAUUCCACGUGUAGCAGUGAAAUGCGUAGAGAUGUGGAGGAAUACCGGUGGCGAAGGCGGCAUCCUGGACCGGCAUUGACGCUGAGGAGCGAAAGCUAGGGGAGCAAACGGG
rnacentral:rRNA from 1 species